UUUAUUAAGAGUUUGAUCCUGGCUCAGGAUGAACGCUAGCGGCGUGCCUGAGAUAUGCAAGUCGAAUGUCUUGUGCUUCGCACAGGUAAGUUGAAAGUUCGUAAAGUUUAUAAAGUUAACUGAAAUUAGUUAAAUAUUACUUUAUAAACUUGUCACUUUAUGAACUUGAUGAACUUACUCGUGUGGAGCACGAGUAAUGGCGGACGGCUGAGUAACGCGUAGGUAUUUGCCCCUUUCUUGAUAAUAGCCCCGCGAAAGCGGGGGUAAUAAUCAAUAAUAUCAAGCUCUGCUUGAUUAAAGAAUAUAACUAUUUGGAAAGGGAUAAGCCUGCGUCCUAUCAGGUUGUUGGUAGGGUAACUGCCUACCAAGCCAAUGACGGGUAGCUGGCCCGAGAGGGUGGUCAGCCAGAGGGGUACUGAGACACGGACCCCACUUCUACGGAAGGCAGCAAUCAGGAAUAGUCGGCAAUGGGCGAAAGCCUGACCGCGCGACGCCGCGUGUGAGAUGAAGCUCUAACGAGUGUAAAUCACUGUGGUAGAGGAAGAAGUCCCGCCUUUGGCGGGAUUGACUGUACUCUGCUAGAAAGUAGCCGCUAACUGCGUGCCAGAAGCGUCGGUAAUACGUGGGCUACGAGCGUUAUCCGGUUUUAUUGGGCGUAAAGGGUCGUGUAGGUGUUCUAUUAAGUCCUGUUUUAAAGACCAAGGCCAAACCUUGGAAAAAGGCAAGAUACUGAUAGAAUUGAGUUGUUUUUAGGGAAACCAGAACUUAGGGAGGAGUAGUGAAAUGCGUUGAUACCCUAGGGAAUACCAGCGGCGAAGGCGGGUUUCUGAAAGACAUCUGACACUGAGACACGAAAGCUAGGGGAGCGAAGCAGAUUAGAGACCUGCGUAGUCCUAGCCCUAAACGAAUGCUUGCUAUCUGCAUUUUUCAACUUAUGUUGAGGGGUGUGGAGAAGGUAACCCGUUAAGCAAGCCGCCUGGGGAGUACGACCGCAAGGUUAAAACUCAAAGGAAUUGGCGGGGAGGCACACAACCAGUGGAACAUGUGGUUCAAUUCGAUACGAACCGAAGAACCUCACCAGGGUUUGACAUCCUAGCGUUCUAUUCUGAUGAAAGUCAGAAAAUCCGCAAGGAGGCUAGGACAGGUACUGCAUGGCUGUCGUCAGUUCGUUCCGUGAGGAGUGCCCUUAAGUGGGACAACGAACGCAACCCCUAUUCUGUGUUAUAUUUGUCACAGAAGACUGCUACGACAUUUCGUCGUAGAGGAAGGAGGGGCAGACGUCAAGUCAACAUGGUCCUUAUACCCUGGGCUACACACAUGUUACAAUGAGAAGAACAAUGAGUUUCGCCACUUAGCAAUAAGGAGCAAAUCUCAAAAUCUUCUCUCAGUUGGGAUUGGGGUCUGAAACUCGACCUCAUGAACUCGGAAUUGGUAGUAAUCGCGAAUCAGUCAUGUCGCGGUGAAUACGUUCUUGCCUCUUGCACACACCGCCCGUCAAGCCAACAAAGUUGGAUAAAUUUGAAUCCCGACUUUAUGUCUGGAGAGGAUUUUUUCGGCGAUGGGGGUUAAGUCGUAACAAGGUAUCCGUUCUGGAAGGAGCGGAUGGAUCACCUCCUUU
rfam:Candidatus Roizmanbacteria bacterium CG2_30_33_16 cg2_3.0_scaffold_2629_c, whole genome shotgun sequence.